UUGAUGGGAGCUUGCUCCCUGAUAGUUAGCGGCGGACGGGUGAGUAACACGUGGGCAACCUACCUUUAAGACUGGGAUAACUUCGGGAAACCGGAGCUAAUACCGGAUAAUAUGUAAGACCACAUGGUCUUACAUUGAAAGAUGGCUUCGGCUAUCACUUAUAGAUGGGCCCGCGGCGCAUUAGCUAGUUGGUGAGGUAAUGGCUCACCAAGGCGACGAUGCGUAGCCGACCUGAGAGGGUGAUCGGCCACACUGGGACUGAGACACGGCCCAGACUCCUACGGGAGGCAGCAGUAGGGAAUCUUCCGCAAUGGACGAAAGUCUGACGGAGCAACGCCGCGUGAACGAUGAAGGCUUUCGGGUCGUAAAGUUCUGUUGUUAGGGAAGAACAAGUACCAGAGUAACUGCUGGUACCUUGACGGUACCUAACCAGAAAGCCACGGCUAACUACGUGCCAGCAGCCGCGGUAAUACGUAGGUGGCAAGCGUUAUCCGGAAUUAUUGGGCGUAAAGCGCUCGCAGGCGGUCUUUUAAGUCUGAUGUGAAAGCCCACGGCUCAACCGUGGAGGGUCAUUGGAAACUGGGAGACUUGAGUGCAGAAGAGGAGAGUGGAAUUCCACGUGUAGCGGUGAAAUGCGUAGAGAUGUGGAGGAACACCAGUGGCGAAGGCGACUCUCUGGUCUGUAACUGACGCUGAGGAGCGAAAGCGUGGGGAGCGAACAGG
rnacentral:rRNA from 1 species